rnacentral:rRNA from 1 species
CCAAUAGCGUAUAUUAAAGUUGUUGCAGUUAAAAAGCUCGUAGUUGAACUUCGGGGUCUACCCGUUGGUCAGGCUUAAUUGUCUGCACUGGUGAGAUGGAUCUCUACCUUCUGAGGAACUUUCAUGCCAUUUAUUUGGUGUGAUGGGAAAUCAGGACUGUUACUUUGAAAAAAUUAGAGUGUUUAAAGCAGACUAUCGUCUGAAUACAUUAGCAUGGAAUAAUGAAAUAGGACGGACUGAUUCUAUUUCGUUGGUUUCUAGGAUCACCGUAAUGAUUAAUAGGGAUAGUUGGGGGCAUUAGUAUUCAAUUGUCAGAGGUGAAAUUCUUGGAUUUAUUGAAGACUAACUACUGCGAAAGCAUUUGCCAAGGAUGUUUUCAUUAAUCAAGAACGAAAGUUAGGGGAUCGAAGACGAUCAGAUACCGUCGUAGUCUUAACCAUAAACUAUGCCGACUAGGGAUCGGACGAAGUUAAUUUUAUAAUGACGCGUUCGGCACCUUACG